AUCCUGAGCUUGGAUCAAACCACUCUCUGGACACAAAUUACCACCAGGCCAACACCAGCCAAGUGGACGGAGACUGUACGUCAUGGGGCUCAUCUCCUGCACACAGCACUUUUCUCUAGAGGACCAGACAUCUGGACUGUCCUUUUUGUGAAGUGCCCAAAGUCUGCAAGCAAAACAGAGUGGAAGGGUGUGGAGAGCGAUGUCUGGUCCCACCGCGCUGCACCAGCACUCCUGCAGGAACACUUAGUGCUCAGCUGGCUCCAUCUCCACUGCAGCCUCCACGUUUCUACAGCCCUGCAGGGAGAGCCAGCCACCCGAGCAGCCUGUCUGCCCCUGAAGGAACUUGUAGUGGUGAUACAGAAAAAAGAAGAGGUACUUUUCCCCCAGAGAGCAGUUGAGUUUGAGAGCAGACAGCUCCUUGUCCCAGGAACGUGUUGCUGAUGUGAGCUGUGGACCUCAGGCAGCGGCUGGUCUGGAAGGCGCACGCUGAGGAUUGUUGCUGCUGGAGGGGGAACUGACUCAUCACAUCAUCAAUUCUCCUCCGCCAGCACUGCACAAAACAUCUCGUAUCAUCACGCUCUCUUUCUUCAGCAUUUCUUUUUUAAAUUGAAGGACCUUCAAACUCUGCAGUGCUUUUCGCUCCAGCUGCUGUUGCAGGUUGGG
rnacentral:lncRNA from 1 species